GGGAGCACAGGAUCUUGGGCUGUGUCUGCUCAGCACCCUGGGAUCUGGGGCCUGUGCUGCUGGAAUCAGGCUCCCGGGCCGCUGCUCCU
rnacentral:pre_miRNA from 1 species